GAUGAACGCUGGCGGCGUGCCUAAUACAUGCAAGUCGAGCGAACGGACGAGAAGCUUGCUUCUCUGAUGUUAGCGGCGGACGGGUGAGUAACACGUGGAUAACCUACCUAUAAGACUGGGAUAACUUCGGGAAACCGGAGCUAAUACCGGAUAAUAUUUUGAACCGCAUGGUUCAAAAGUGAAAGACGGUCUUGCUGUCACUUAUAGAUGGAUCCGCGCUGCAUUAGCUAGUUGGUAAGGUAACGGCUUACCAAGGCAACGAUGCAUAGCCGACCUGAGAGGGUGACCGGCCACACUGGAACUGAGACACGGUCCUGACUCCUACGGGAGGCAGCAGUAGGGAAUCUUCCUCAAUGGGCGAAAGCCUGACGGAGCAACGCCGCGUGAGUGAUGAAGGUCUUCGGAUCGUAAAACUCUGUUAUUAGAGAAGAACAUAUGUGUAAGUAACUGUGCACAUCUUGACGGUACCUAAUCAGAAAGCCACGGCUAACUACGUG
rnacentral:rRNA from 1 species